CAACUUGGAGGAAUGUAUAGCAAUAGCUAAUUUGCACCAACAAACAGUUGAUGCAAUAUCGACUAUGUCGAAUAAAAUUUCUAGGUAUAGUUAUGAUAAUGACAUUUUAUGCCUAUGUGUCUUGACCAAAUUACGUGCCAGCAGUCGCGGUAAUACGUAGAAGACUAGUGUUAUUCAUCUUUAAUAGGUUUAAAGGGUACCUAGACGGUAAAUCAAGCCUUAACACAAGGGACUAUUUUACUAGAGUUACAUGUGAGGGGGUUCUAAGGUACUGCUGGUGGAGAGAUGAAAUUCUGUCAUACCUCUUAGAGAGAAGAAUCACGGCACAGGUAUAGGCGAAAGCAUCCCCUUAUGCAAUAACUGACGUUGAGGGACGAAGGCUUUUGUAGCGAACAGGAUUAGUUACCCCAGUAGUCCAAGCAGAAAAUGAUGAAUGUCAUAGAUUAGAUAAUAAGAUUUCUUCUAUAAAUGAAAGUGUAAGCAUUCCACCUCAAGAGUAAUUUGGCAACAUUGGAACUGAAAUCAUUAGACCGUUUCUGAAACCAGUAGUGAAGUAUGUUGUUUAAUUUGAUAAUCCGCAAAAAACCUUACCACAAUUUGAAUAUUU
rnacentral:rRNA from 1 species